rnacentral:rRNA from 1 species
UACCAGACUCCUACGGGAGGCAGCAGUGGGGAAUAUUGCACAAUGGGGGAAACCCUGAUGCAGCGACGCCGCGUGAGCGAUGAAGUAUUUCGGUAUGUAAAGCUCUAUCAGCAGGGAAGAAGAUGACGGUACCUGACUAAGAAGCCCCGGCUAACUACGUGCCAGCAGCCGCGGCAAUACGUAGGGGGCAAGCGUUAUCCGGAUUUACUGGGUGUAAAGGGGGCGCAGACGGCGAUGCAAGCCAGGAGUGAAAGCCCGGGGCCCAACCCCGGGACUGCUCUUGGAACUGCGUGGCUGGAGUGCAGGAGGGGCAGGCGGAAUUCCUGGUGGAGCGGUGAAAUGCGUAGAUAUCAGGAGGAACACCGGUGGCGAAGGCGGCCUGCUGGACUGCAACUGACGUUGAGGCCCGAAAGCGUGGGGAGCAAACAGGAUUAGAUACCCUUGUAGA